rnacentral:rRNA from 2 species
UGAGUUCUCCCUGAGACUUAAAGUCUCCUGAAGGAACGUUGAAGACGACGACGUUGAUAGGCCGGGUGUGUAAGCGCAGCGAUGCGUUGAGCUAACCGGUACUAAUGAACCGUGAGGCUUAACCCUACAACGCCGAAG